ACGUGUAAAAUUUAUGUAAUACAUGAGCGUUGAAACUUUGAUUUAUCGGUCAACAUUUAUUUACCGAAAUUUUGAUCUACAGAUGCGUGGACAAAUAUUGAAGCUGAUUUUCACUAACACAUCAUUCAUGGAGUUUUGAAUCCCCAAAUCGACCCCUCUUAGCCAAGAUUAAAACUAUAUUUGUCUAUUUAAAAGGGAUCGGUUUAAGGAUCUGGAGCUUUAUAGAUAAUUUAAAGUGAAACCCGCUUCAAUUCUUGUUCAUGCCAUCACUUAACGCUGGUGAAGUAUGAAUGUCUAAUUUUCAAAAUGUUAUCUAUUUAUGGAGAAUAUUUUAAAAAGAAAACUAAUGAAAAUGGUUUGAAAACUUGGAGUUUUAAUGAUAAGGAUAAAAUAAAGGGUAAAGUGAAUAGUAUCAGGUUUGACUUUUUAGUCUAAAAAUAUGAUUUUUCGUUAAAGUAGACAGUACCGUGGGUUUUUCGUUAAAACUCCUUAUUUUAAAAGGAUGGGACCAAUAAAAUUACCUCCUAGAAUUAGAUGGUUAUCCGUACUUUAUCCAAGAUAAAAUAAAACAAAAAGUGAAAGAUUUGUGAUCAAGUCAUCAAUGGUGACGUAUCACCUAACUUAAUUUAAAAUUUAAAAUAUGAAGUUUCGAUCAAUGUGAAACGGGAAACUUUCAGCAGUCAAUGGUAUUGGCAAAUAGUCGAUAGAUCACUGUGAAUGGUGAAGACUUUGGGGCAAAUUGUGAAUAUAAAUACUGAUUAAGGUGGACCCUUCUCUUAGUUACAUCAUGUUAAGGUCCAAGUCCCGGGUGAUAAUAUUCUCUACUAUUAAGUGAAUUUAUAUCGAUGGAAGAUGAGAUAUUUUAUGUCCUUACAAAGACUUCGGUGACUUCGUAAAUUUUUAAUUGGUACCGGAGUCAAAUUAUACAACAUCAUCGUAUUCAUAUUUAAUGUGAGAUUCACUUUCAACAUAAUAUUUAAAAUAAUCAAAAUAAAUAGUUUUUAAAGCCCAUUUUCUUGACUGCAUAAAAGAAAGGUAUUUUUAGUUCAUGAGAUAGAUAGGCAUAACUUCUCAUUUUAAUCAACGAGAUUUGAAAUCAAUUGAAGUGGUUCCUCAGUUUGUUUACUAUCAAUCAUUUUGGUAAUUCCGUGAAAAAUCCAUUAAAUAAGGAUAAAAUGACCAAAAUACCCUCAAUUUUAGUCAAAUCAAUUUGAACAUUAUUUAUUAAAUUGAUAGUAUUUUCGUCAUUUUUGCUCUUAUUUAACAUAAUUUUUUAUGGAAAGAUUGAUGGUGGACAAAUCUUAGGAACUAAAAUGAAGAGUUAUACAAGUCUCACCAUAUAUUGGGCCUCAACUGGGCCUCAUGAAAAAUACUCGGGGCACUUAGCCCAUUAUUUAUGUAUUAAGGAGCGAGCCCUUAUUCUAUAAAAGGGACUCCCUCACUUUCAUUAAAGAGCACCCAUUAUUUAUGUACUGAGGAGCGAGCC
rnacentral:lncRNA from 1 species